GAUGAACGCUGGCGGCGUGCCUAACACAUGCAAGUCGAGCGAAGAGGGGACGGGUGAGUAACACGUGGAUAACCUCCUAUAAGACUGGGAAAAAAUAGGGAAAACGGAGCUAAAACGGCAACUUAUAGAUGGAUCCGCGCUGCAUUAGCUAGUUGGUAAGGUAACGGCUUACCAAGGCAACGAUGCAUAGCCGACCUGAGAGGGUGAUCGGCCACACUGGAACUGAGACACGGUCCAGACUCCUACGGGAGGCAGCAGUGGGGAAUCUUCCGCAAUGGGCGAAAGCCUGACGGAGCAACGCCGCGUGAGUGAUGAAGGUCUUCGGAUCGUAAAACUCUUUUAUUAGGGAAGCGGUACCUACUCAGAAAGCCACGGCUAACUACGUGCCAGCAGCCGCGGUAAUAC
rnacentral:rRNA from 1 species